rnacentral:rRNA from 1 species
UACGUAGGGGGCAAGCGUUGUCCGGAUUUAUUGGGCGUAAAGAGCGUGUAGGCGGCCAUACAGGUCCGUUGUGAAAACUCGAGGCUCAACCUCGAGACGCCGAUGGAAACCAUGUGGCUAGAGUCCGGAAGAGGAGAGUGGAAUUCCUGGUGUAGCGGUGAAAUGCGCAGAUAUCAGGAAGAACACCCGUGGCUAAGGCGGCUCUCUAGUACGGUACUGACGCUGAGACGCGAAAGCGUGGGGAGCAAACAGG